GUCUCUCUAGAUGUCCAAUAAAAAGCCCCAGACAGGAAGAGAGAAAAAGAGAGGAAUGGAAAGAAACACAACAUCCCUCUUCCUCCUACCACUCCUCCUCUUCCUCCGACCACUCCUCCUCGUUCUCCUGUUCUCUCUCCUCAAGUACUGAAGGUUGAGGCGUCUGUCGUCCCGGUGACCAGACCGCCAGCCACAUCGCCAGUUAAAAUGGAGGGCACGGUGAAGAUGGAAAACACCGUUAAGACCGAGGAGUCCCCGUGUCCUCUAGCCGCUCUUCGUGUUCCUCCGUCUCAGAGUGAGCUGCUGUCCCAUCUCCCUCCUCUCCCCCCGACCCCUUUCCCUUCCUCCCUCCCCUCGAGGCGGCCUCCUACUCCAUCCCCCAGAAGCCCCUUGUACACCUGGCCCGUAUCCGAAACCCUGCCCCGUGUCUGGUCAUCCACUGGAGGGUCACUGAGGAAGACGCCGCGGCGCCCGACAUGGACAGUUACAGUAUCUACAUCGCUCAGGAGAGUCAUAGCAGCAGCGUCUCCCCGUCCUGGAGGAAUGUGGGUGUGGUCAAGGCCCUGGCCCUGCCCAUGGCUGUCACGGUAACCAAGUACCAAUCGGGUACCACCUACGUCAUCGUGGUGGGCAAGGACCGGUAUGGUCGUUACGGACCGUACAGUGACGUACAGACUGUCCUCCUGGCAUAGAGACAUGGCGGGGAGUUCUGGUCGUCUAGAUUGAAGGCAUUGAGCAUCUGUGGGGGGGGUUUACUCCACCCUUGUACUUGAUUUGAUGAAUUUAAGGUCACUAAUUAGUGAGGAAGUAAUCUGAACGUAGACCUAGUGAACGACAUAGAGACUUCACCUAGCUAACCUGAAAUAUUAGGCUGACGAGGACGGGGUUAAAGCAGGCAGGAAAGGUAGACUGGGUGGUGAUUCGUCCUUCGUCACCGCGGUAACCAACCCGGUGUCGGUCCGUUUUACGCAUGUUUAAUCACUCGUCUUUAAUCUCUGAAACCCGGAACCAACGUCUGGCCUAGUUGAGUCUACUCUGUUAGUAUGUCUGUCCUAGUUGAGUCAACUCUGUUAGUAUAUCUGGCCUAGUUGAGUCUACUCUGUUAGUAUGUCUGGCCUAGUUGAGUCAACUCUGUUAGUAUAUCUGUCCUAGUUGAGUCUACUCUGUUAGUAUAUCUGUCCUAGUUGAGUCAACUCUGUUAGUGAUGUUUAGUAC